rnacentral:rRNA from 1 species
AGUGAACGCUGGCGGUAGGCCUAACACAUGCAAGUCGAACGGCAGCACAGUAAGAGCUUGCUCUUACGGGUGGCGAGUGGCGGACGGGUGAGGAAUACAUCGGAAUCUACUUUUUCGUGGGGGAUAACGUAGGGAAACUUACGCUAAUACCGCAUACGACCUACGGGUGAAAGCAGGGGAUCUUCGGACCUUGCGCGAUUGUAUGAGCCGAUGUCGGAUUAGCUAGUUGGCGGGGUAAAGGCCCACCAAGGCGACGAUCCGUAGCUGGUCUGAGAGGAUGAUCAGCCACACUGGAACUGAGACACGGCCCAGACUCCUACGGGAGGCAGCAGUGGGGAAUAUUGGACAAUGGGCGCAAGCCUGAUCCAGCCAUACCGCGUGGGUGAAGAAGGCCUUCGGGUUGUAAAGCCCUUUUGUUGGGAAAGAAAAGCAGCAGGUUAAUACCCCGCUGUUCUGACGGUACCCAAAGAAUAAGCACCGGCUAACUUCGUG